rnacentral:ncRNA from 2 species
UUCUUAUCAAGAGCAGGCGGAGGGACUGGCCCGAUGAAGCCCGGCAACCGGCGUUCAGCACGGUGCUAAUUCUUGCGGAAAAUGUGAUGUUUUCCGAGAGAUGAGGA